CGCACAUUGCGCCCGGCAGUAUUCUGCCGGGCAUGCCUGUUCGAGCGUCAUUUCAACCCUCAAGCCCCCGGGCUUGGUGUUGGAGAUCGGCCCGCCCCUGCGGCAGGCCGGCUCCGAAAUCCAGUGGCGGUCCCGCCGUAACUUCCUCUGCGUAGUAGCAAUAUCUCGCACCGGAAAGCGACGGAGCCUUGCCGUAAAACCCCCAACUUCUGAAGGUUGACCUCGGAUCAGGUAGGAAUACCCGCUGAACUUAAGCAUAUCAAUAAGCGGAGGAAAAGAAACCAACAGGGAUUGCCCUAGUAACGGCGAGUGAAGCGGCAACAGCUCAAAUUUGAAAUCUGGCCUUCGGGUCCGAGUUGUAAUUUGUAGAGGAUGCUUUUGGUGCGGUGCCUUCCGAGUUCCCUGGAACGGGACGCCAUAGAGGGUGAGAGCCCCGUCUGGUUGGAUACCAAUCCUCUGUAAAGCUCCUUCGACGAGUCGAGUAGUUUGGGAAUGCUGCUCUAAAUGGGAGGUAUAUGUCUUCUAAAGCUAAAUACCGGCCAGAGACCGAUAGCGCACAAGUAGAGUGAUCGAAAGAUGAAAAGCACUUUGAAAAGAGGGUUAAACAGUACGUGAAAUUGUUGAAAGGGAAGCGCUUGUGACCAGACUUGGGCAUGGUUAAUCAUCCAGCGUUCUCGCUGGUGCACUUGGCCUGCCCAGGCCAGCAUCAGUUCGGUGCGGGGGAUAAAGGCUUCGGGAAUGUGGCUCCUCCGGGAGUGUUAUAGCCCGUUGUGCAAUACCCUGCGCUGGACUGAGG
rnacentral:rRNA from 1 species